rnacentral:rRNA from 1 species
UACGUAGGGUGCGAGCGUUGUCCGGAAUUAUUGGGCGUAAAGAGCUCGUAGGCGGUGUGUCACGUCGUUCGUGAAAACCUGCAGCUUAACUGUGGGCGUGCGGUCGAUACGGGCAUCACUGGAGUUCGGCAGGGGAGACUGGAAUUCCUGGUGUAGCGGUGAAAUGCGCAGAUAUCAGGAGGAACACCGGUGGCGAAGGCGGGUCUCUGGGCCGAUACUGACGCUGAGGCGCGAAAGCGUGGGGAGCGAACAGG